rnacentral:lncRNA from 1 species
CAUUCUGACUGCCCCUAAUGCCAGUUUCUUCUAUUAAGGACAACACAGCAGGGUUGCAUAUGGAGGGGCUUUCUCCACAAACAUGAAGUUCUACAAUGUGACUUGUCUGAUACUAUCAGAUCAUGCCUUCUAUGUAAGAGCUGAAGACUUCUGUUUGUGGCCAUUCAUUUUGUUUUGUCUUGUUUUGUUUUUUGUGUUUUUUCUUUUGUUUCCUUUUUUACUUGUGCCACUGGGAAUUGAAUCCAGGGCUUUCACAUUGAGCUAUGCCCUCAGCUCUUUUUAUUUUAUUUUAAUUUUUUCAAGACAGGGUCUUGCUAUGUAUUCCAGCUUUGGGUUCACUGUGUAGCCCAGGCUUGGCCUCAAACUUCUUACUAUCCUCUUGCCUCAACCUCGAGAGUGCUGGGAUUACAGGUGUGCACCACCACACACAGUCCUUUUCAUUUUGUUUAUUUUGAGACAAGGUCUGGCUAAAUUGCUCAGAUGGGACUUGAAUUUGUGAUUCUCCUACCUCAGCCUCCCAGAGUGCUGGGAUUAUAAACCUGUGCCUCUUGGUCCAGUUUCUUUUUUAAAAUGCUGGAAAGGAUCCAGGGAAGCUGCAUCAUUUUUAGAUAGGAGAUGACAUCACUUCCCAACUUGCUUAGGAGGCCUAAAGUCUUGCUCUAUUCUUGGUCUAGCACCUCACUUUCCAUUCUCUUUACAACCUAUUGUCCUUUUUUGUACUUAGCCUAGCAGGACCUGGGGGGCCCAGCUUGAAAAAGGAUGUUAGCAUCCCCUCCCUUCUGCCGACCUACCUCCUCUUGUAGCAACCUGGCGCCCCCUCGACAACUCAUGGCUGGAUCCAGCCCCAACUCCAUUGCUCAGAGUGCAACUUCAGAUUUCUAAAGGGACAUUGGAUCGGAUAAGGCUUCGGAAGCGGGGAUGAGAGGGCCAGGAGAAGCCGCCUAUUGGAAAGAAGAAAAUAAAAAUCUGGGGCAAGAAGGAAUGAGAUGGAACUCCAGGAGUCAGCCUGUGGGGUAUGAUACGGAGCAGUCUGAGCUUAAGUACCCAGGCCUGGCUCAAAGCUGGUGGCAGAACUGCAGCAGGGGCCGGGGUAAAACGCCAAAUUCUCAUCUGAUGUGCGAGAGCUGUGAGCAGAAGUGACUGAGUCGCGUCCAAGCCGACCCGAGCCCUAUCAACCAG